GAGCGCAGAGAGAGAGCGCGGACAGCAGCGACGACGAGGGGUCGGAAGAUGUGACGAGGACACCUGCAGGACAAAAGAGCUAACAGACAUAACUCGUAAUGCCACGGACCUGAUGUACUAAGGGAUAUGGAUUUGGACUAGAGCUACGGGUCAAGGUGCCAUCUACAGUGUACAAGUAAAGCAACAAGGUAGCAAUCUCCACAAACCACUGCUGCUGCAAAGACGGGAGAGCUCCAGCGGACAAAAAGCAUCGUCGACUACAGUGAAUUCACAAACAGAGCAGCUUCACAUCCUGCUGACUGGCUGGGUUUGUCCAGCAAGGUAAGCACACGUUUGGCCAAGUUUUAAAAAGCAGCUGAGGUAAUUUCAAUUUACAAUUACAAUUUCACUGCGGCAGGACGGAAAAACGUUUUUAUUGCCACCUACCAAUUUAGAUGACCUGAAUCGGGGUGCGUGCAGUGCUUGCAUA